AGUUAAAAAGCUUAAUAAAGAAAAGUAUAUGUUUUGAAAGCAUAAGAAAGAAGUUAAAUCCUUCUAUUAACUU
rnacentral:tRNA from 1 species